ensembl:lncRNA
AUUUUUUCUCCUUAAAGCACAUGUACCUGGGAGGUCACAGUCUUAACAAAGUCAAAGUUUUGUGUGUUUGAGAGCUUUGCCCUACUACCAUGUAAUUGAAAUCAAGCUUUUAAAAGCUCACGGUAAUAUGUUUGUUCUUUAACCUCACCCAACGAAGAGAGAGCGCUUUGCUGAGAGAACCCAUUGUUACGCUCCUGCACUUAACUGAUAAGGAACUGAUACAACCAGUAGCAAAGAAAGAAACUAAUAAUAAUAUAAAAAGAUUCACAUGCCUUCCUUCCCCAGCAUACUAAUGCCUUGCCCAAUGAAUUUCCCAAGUUGUUAACAAAUGAGGUGCAGUAUAUUUAAUAAUAUUAACAUAUUGUUGCAAGGCUUAUUUAAUAACAGGUAGGAGGGAUGAGUUCUCAUGUCAGAAAAUGGAGGGCCUCAUGCCAUUUGGAGACCUGCUCAUUAUCCGUUCUUACAAUUUAAUGAUAUAUGUGUCUAUUACCGAGGAGAAGUAGAGGAUCUACUCAGGAACUCUGUGAGAUUGAUUGACUGGAAAAACGCAUAAAGGCUUAAACUAUCUUACAUCAUCUGCCAUGCAUACAGGACACUUUCUCUGCUAUGUGAAAAACUCUGAGCAACUGGAGACAGUGAAAAUAUGUAAAUGGGACUGGGCUGAUUUCAAGGAGAUGACAUGUGGGUUCUGAAUGUGUUCGGCAAACCAGGAAAUCACAUCCUUCCCAUUCCAGGAACCAGGACCUCAUGAGCGAACUUCGCAAAAUUUGUGAAAGAUUCAGUGUUGGAUGGACGUGUCUACCAGGCAAAGACAGCAGCUAGUGUUCAUCACAUCUGCAGUCCUACUCUGGCAGGAUCAGGACUCGGAUGGCCAGUGCCUAUGGGGCUGAGAGUGAGGAGGGACCUGGAACCUCAUGGGGACAGGAAAAGAAGAGUCAGGUCCUGUUCCAUGGAGAAACAGAAGGAAUUAGAGUAUCCUCCUCUCAACAAAGACAGUUCUUCCAUUUCAUGGAAAGAGGAUGCACCACUGCUUGCUUCAGUCUGCUAUAAUACUUGCAGAAAUUGCCUACAUCAUCUACAUUCAAAGCCUGCUCUGUAAUGGGCAGUGGAUAUCACUUAUGUAAUUAAGCAGAGUGAUUGCCAAACCAGGUUCAUGAACGUAACAAUCAUGCAGUAUGGAGUAAACAGGAGUCAGAAGCACAGUUCUGUCCCUCUUCCAGUUCUGCCCAUCAAGGCACAUCAGACAUCAAGGAUGGUCUCGUAGGUAGUUUUCAUAAUGGGAAAGGACCUAAUAGUGGUAACAAAGCCUUGAUGUGCAAGAUGCUGUAUGAAUCUUCAGCCCCCAUCCAUUUCAGUAGAUGUUAAAGGUGCAAAGUAUUUGGCCUAAUUCAUCAACUUGUCUUUCUCUACUUACUUCUUCACCACAGAGUAACUCAAAAAGUCACUGUAGGUUUUGAGUUGUUCUCUGCAGUCCUGUAUUCUAGAUUCUAUUUUUUUUAAAGUAUAUUCAUUUAUUAGUAUGAAUCAUGGUCAAUUUAAAAAGCUUUCAUGUUAAAGACAGUACUCAUAAAAUCUAUAAUGGAUAUUUCAUCCAUUUUCCAAGAAUUCUGAAGAUCAUUUUUUAAUCAUGAUGAAUCAACAGCUCCUUCUGACACAGCACUGUUUCUCCACCAAGGCCAUUGCAUGGCGUGCAGGCAUGCUGUCAGAGCAGAACCAGCUUCAGGAUGUGCUAUGACUUGACCUGCCUGCAAGAGAGGAUAGAACAUCCUCUAACUUAAGAACUCUUCCAGCAAUCCUCCAAUUGUUUCAAAAUUAUUUGAUAAAAAUGCAGUUUAGGCCCUCUUGAGGUUCAUCUUAUAGUGAAAUAUACCUUUACACUAAUACACUGGUAUAAGGCUAGAAUGUAACAGAUGAGAACUGCAGUGGUUCUAACUGCUGUAAUGUUUUGUGAACUGGGAAGAUUUCAUUCCACUUCACUAUGAAUUUGAUCAAGUUAAAUUUCAGUAAGAAAAAUGAUGGUAACAUAAUGCCAAAGAUCCAUUAAACAAGAUCUUACUGCACUAAGUGUUGCAUAUAUUGAAUUAAAAGAUUGCCUUACUGUUAUGGUUUAACCCAGCAAGUGGCAAAGCACCACACAGUCAUUCAUUCACUGUUCCUCUUCCAAGUGGGAUUGGGGAGAGAACUGGAGUUGCGCCAGGGGAGAUUCACGUUGGAUAUUAGGGAAAAUUUCUUCUCUGAAAGAGUGAUCAGGCACUGGAAUGGGCUGCCCAGGGUGGUGGUGGAGUCACUGUCCGUGGAGGUGUUCAAGAAAUGUUUAGAUGUUGUACUGAGGAACAUGGUUUAGUGGGGAAAUAUUGGUGGUAGGUGGAUGGUUGUGCUUGAUCUUGGAGGUCUUUUCCAAUCUUAAUGGCCUCAAUGACUAUGAAUUAUCAUUAAAAGUGACACUCAGGAGAAUAGUUCCAACUGUUCACAAACAUGUUUUCCCUGUCAGACUUGAUUUUCUAUAUUUCCAUAAUUUUUUACCAUAAACUCUGUGUUUUAUAAGAUUGUCUGUAUAUUUGAGGGUUCUCUUCUGAAGAUGUUAUUCCAGAAUGGUUUUAUUCUUUAAAUAUUAAGGUGAAGAGAAUCAAAGAUUUUACACCCUUCCUCUCAAGCUGCCUUAUUCUUCAAAAAAUGUUUAGAAUUGCAUUAACAUCUUGUAAAACUAUAACAUUAGCAGCUAGAAGUCACUGUUAAAGCUUGAAGUCACUGUCAGUGAAGUUACAUUAAUUAAUGUUUCCUGUGUUAAUGUAUCUAAAUCUUAACUGUAAUUGAGUAGUUACAUCAGCUAGGUUGUCCUUUUUACUUUUUCAGACCUUAAGCAGUAUUGAUGAGUAUUUCCUGUUAUCUGAAUAACAAUAUACUCCAGGAUUGUAAAGGUAAUGUGUCCAUUAGCAGUAAGUCUCUCACUGGCCCUUACAGCUCCCACAUCCUCGUUGGAAAACAGGGCCACAGUCCUGAAGACCUGAGGCUGUUUUAAGCUCCUCAAAUAAAGACGUUUCUCUCAAAGCAGAGUUAGAAGCUGAAGAUAACAGAGUGCAAUAGGACUUGUGAAAAGGAUGUCAGCAAUGUCAGUUGUCAUGGUUUCGGGUCUGAGAGAGCGUUAAGUUUCUGAACUUGUUCUGUUAUCAGAGCCACUCUCAGUUCCCCAUUUAUUGCCAAACUAUGUAGACUCAGAGAAGCUGGAAACAUGAGGGACCUGUCUGGCGUCUGAGUUCAGACUCUUUCAGGAAUGCUCCAUACCUAAGUUUCCAAAACAUACCAAGUGCUAAAUGGCUUCAUCCAGGGACCCUUGAAGCCACUGAAGUGCAAUGUAUCAUUGAGGUGCUUUUCUCGUCCAAUAAUUCUAAUUUUUGUAGAGUUACUUGUAAGGUCUUGCAUCUGCAAAGCAGAAAAAAAGAUUGAGAAAACGUUAUUUCCAAAAAUUAAAAAUUAAAUAAAGGUUAAUUUAAUAAAGGUGAUCAUAUUUCAAUUCAAAAAAAAAAAAAAGUAUAGUUCCUUUUCACGGUUUUAACAUCAGAAAUGUUUAAACAGCCAACACCUCCCAGCCAGGUAUCUUUUUUGAAGCAUCUAUAUAUUGAACAAAAUAGUUAGGAGUUAUCAUAUCUACUGCGACCUAGUAGUAUUUUUGAUACAGGAUUUCAGAUCAAUUAACAGAGAGUCACAGAGUGAGAACUACUUAAGAGUGUGUCCCAGGUAGGGCACUGCCAAUGGCACAAGCCAAGCAGAACGCAAGAAUUCAUCCUUGAGAUCCAACUGGAAGAUGUCAUUGAAAUGCCAGCAGUUCCGUCUGCCAGACUUCAAGUUGACAGGAUUGAGAUCUUCCCUCUUUGGAAAAAAAAGACAACAGAUAAAGAUGCCUCAGUGGAAAUAUGCCAGGUUUCUAUGCAAUCACUCACCUCGUCAAGCUGGGAUAAUUUCCACAUUGCUCCAUCAUACAUUGACUCGAAUUACACUAUAACUUUGAAAUCAACAUUUUCUAGUUGUCUCCUUGAAAACUUCUCAAAAUGAUCUUCUUAUCCUUUCUGUUCGUCUGAUGAUCAUAGUAUUUGGAGUACAGUAUUAGCUGCAACUGAGGAUACAAACCGAUACAUAUACUGACUACAGAUAUGUUUGCAUUUACACUUGUGUAUGCGUACUGCAUUGCAGUGGAAAAAAAAAAAACGUUUACUUAAGUGAAAUUGGUAUUACUCUGUUCUCAUAUGGCUAUGCAGAGGGCACGGUUACCUUCCAGUGGGAAAUAGAUACCAUAGAGGCAUUUAACAUCAAGCAGUUGACGGUGAAACUACACACGCUUUCAUAUAAAAUGCCACGGAACUAAGUUACUGCAUUCUUCAAUAUUCUUCUCUGAGACCACUUCUAACUUUUAUGAUCCCUCUAAUUCAAACUUAAGUAAUAGAGAAUGUGUCAAUACAACUUUCCCUUUAAGUAUUGCUAAGGAGCAUGCAGGAGCCCACAUGUUUGCUUAACUGGCCCUGCAACCAACACUGCUAACAAUAAAACCAGAAGUUCAAACCCAGUUCCUUGCUUUCAAGUAUGCCCUUCAAACAGAAAAUACCAGUUUGUCAUCCUUCUAAAACAAAGUGCAUGAUAACCAGGAAUAAAUCUAACGUAUCUACCCCAUCAUUUUACUGACUUUUUUCAACACAUACUUUCUACCAAAGGUAACAGCUACUCAUGGCAUAUAUGCGUGUGCAUUGGUAAGCAUGCCUCAGAGACAUACAACCUCCCCCACCCUGCAUUUUCAAGUGCUAUAACACACUGCCUGCUUCCUAGUCCUGCAAAUACCCUUGAAGUGGAAUAAUGUUUAACAGAGGGCAAUACUGCUGGAGAACUGCCAAAGAAAUGAAGGGUGAGGGAAGCCAGUCAAGGCAUUCUGAUGAAUAUUUUUGUACCUCCAAAGACACAACUAUUAUGCAAACAUUGACCUGUUUGUCAAGCAAUCACAGUUUACUAUUGCUUAAAGGUCACAGAAGUUUCUAAGAUUAUUAAAUAAUGCAUGGAGCCAAAGACCAAGGAUAUUAUUUAAACAGUGGAGGUAACUUUUGUUAGUGAAGGACAAUACGAUGACAAUGCCCCUUUAUUUUCCCUUGAAAAUCUCUAGAGUUUGCACUGUAAUAUAGUAAUGGCCCGUUUAAGCUGAAAGAAGGAACUCUGCUGCGGAAAUGUGGCUCAGUACUACAAUAAAAUAUUACAUGCGUUUUUCUCCCCCUUUCUCUACAUUUGUUGGUACAUGAUUUAUGUUUUUCUACAGGCCUUUCUCUGGUGCUAGGGAGCAACAGUCUCUCCAGCAGUCUAUACGCAUAUAUUUGUGAAUGCAAUGAUCAGUCCCCAUUUGUCUUUCCAAUGUGGAUUAUAAUCCAGUGCAAAAAUUGUUUUGCAACAAUUGAGAGUAUGUGCUGUGCACACAUAAACAGGAAUCAGCAGAGGUUUGCAAAACCUAGUAUCAACUUUGUCAUCUGUUGAGACUGCUUCAUGAUAAGAAAUCCCACACUUACUGUUUCCCAAAGGCUGCAGUCCCUUCUAUUCUCACUAGGCCUUCCAGGUCAUCUCUUCGUGGUCUUCAGACAUUCCCAAGCUCCAGCUAGGUGAGUGAUCCCUUCCAAUGCAAAGAAUUCUGCUCCAUGACCUUCAGUUUCCAGGUAGCUGCCCUUUUGACAGAGACCCAGAAGGGUACAUUUCCCCCAUUUCACCAAGCAGCUACAAAGUUGUUCUGAAAGCUGCAGUGGGCCGGCCCUGGGAUCUUCAUCAGAAACUACAAGCAGAUAAUCUCAAAGGUUUUGUUCCAUCUCAGAAAUAAUCAGUACUUCCCUCUACAUUUAUAAAGCACAGCUGUGUAUAAACUGGAAGAUAAUGGAAGUGAAGUAUUAAUGACAGAAUUUCUGAUUUAAACAAAAUGAAUAAAAAAAGAAUAGCAGUCAUGAAUUUGGGUGGAUUCUAGCACUCAGUGUUUUUUUUUCUUCUUGGUGGUACUUGGCUACUGUUGCCUCAUUUUUAUGAACAUUUAUAUUUGGAAGACUCCCCAUUAUCAUUCUACUUGGUUGCCAACAGCAAAAGCCAUAACGACAGGUCCAAGAAGGGACAGAGAAAGAAGAACAUUUGGAGGCCAACAGAGAACUAAAAUUUCAGUUUCAUUCAUCAUGAUCAUGAAUAUGCACUCCCAUCAAAACAUUUAUAGGUGACUUACAGUAAUAUGAAAGACACCUAGCUGCCAAGAAACCUUUGGUCAUAUCACAGGGCAACCGAGGUUAUCAUCAAGAACAAAAACUAAUCUUAGAAAAAAAAUCCAAUAAAAAGACAAUAUCUCUGGACAAUUAUUUCACAUGACAAAUAUCACGACUUCAUAGAAUAACUCAGUCAUUCCAAGAAGCACUAUUUCUCCUGGAAAUCCAGAUGAAGUGAUUUGUGGAGUGGGAGGUACCUAAUAAAGCCAGUGGAAGUGUUGGCAGGGAGUUUAAUGGCACAGCACCAGAAUGACACUCCUGACCUUACAGUUUAAGCAAGAUGCCUUCAGAGGAAAGAGAAGAAAGAGCCCGUUAUUAAUGGAGUUGACAGAUACAGAAUUAAGCCUGAUAAACCCAAACUACAUUCUUCAGAGUCACCUUCCCACUGAAAACUUAUGGGCAUUUGUACUUACAUGCAGUAACUUCAUUUCUUAUCCCAAGAGGAGGUGAGUAUUCGUUUGUAUACCCUGGAGACUCUUCAAAUAAACCACUGCUCAGGGCACUGUCUGCCAGACCCACCUUCCCUAUGAUCUAGGGGAGAAAAGCAUCAAAUGAAAGCCAGAAAGUUCACCCAUCUGGAUGCAACCUGCACGUACUAAAGUGGGCAUGUCUGUUCUGUUAGCAGAGAUCCCCAGCUCCCAGCUCAGUGCAGCGCCAGGAGGAGACACCAUGCCAGGUCAUGAAGCCAGAUCUGUAUUCAUAGGCUGUUGCACCCAAAUAAGAAAUCCUCUCUGUCCACAUCCAGCAGUAAUACAUGGCAUGCACCCAGUGUGCUCAGGUGGAUUAUACAGAUGUGUGCAGUACCUAAACCAUGCUGCUGCCAGCUCUCCAUGGCAACUCAUUUCAGCAAAGACAGGGACACUUGUAGGAAAGCAAACUGAUGCAGGAGAAUUUAAUAAGUCUUGAGCCUACAUGAAAAUAAAGCCAAGCUUUCCUUAUCCUGUCUUGUCCUCACUGUUCAAUAAAAAGAAUGCAAGAAAAAAAAGCAAUCUGUAGAGUAUAAAUCAUGACUUGAUAAAUGUAGGUCCUUAGAAGCCAGUUGUGUAAAUACAGAUACACCUGCAGGCCCUGAUAACCAGAUUAGCAGUAACAGCUGCCAGACCAUGCAGCAACAACCAAGAGAUAUUGUUGUGUCCUGGCCAACGAAGUUUCCAGAUUGACUCUCAGGUGCUUCCCGUACAUCACUGUUAGUGAGAGCAAUGCAUCAUGAAAGUAGAUGAUCUCCAUUGAUCUUGAAAAUGUAACAUUUUUCUCUUUGAAUGUAUACAAUGCAGUUUGACACUCGCACUAGUUCACAGUACCUCCAGUGUACAAAGGGAUGAGACUUUGUCUGCUGGCAGCUGGGAAGAAUAUCUGAACAGGAAAAAAGAAGUUGUGUCUGGGUUUGGUAUGACCUCAUGUUAAAUAGUAUAUCCUUAUUGGGUAAAUAUCCAUAUCAACUGAUUCAUAGGUGUCCUGCCUUACCUGUUCUUAUUGAAAAUUAGAAUCUAAAAUUAACAAUUUUUCUUGGCAAAGCUCCACUUGAAUUGCAUGAAAAAAUCUGAUGAGCCUCAGAGUGACAAGAAGUACAAGCUAGAUCUACAAAUAUACACAGGCAUAGACAGAGGGGAAAAAAAAACUUUUUGUCCCUACCAACAAAUCUAACAUCAGUGGUUCUAUCUCAGCACUGCUCUUGUUAUUCUUCCUAGAAAUAGAGAUAGUUCAAAGACAAUAUAAUAAAAUUUAGGUGCUUGUGACCCACUGAGACUGUUGAGCCAGGCCUUCCUUGGUGGUACAGUUCCACUGGGGCUGAGGCAGUGGUAGAGCCAGGGCUGAUAACAUCAUCCUCUGGCAGCCCCCAACACAGCAAGCCAUCAACCUGCCAUGAGCAGAAGGAGGUGGGCCCAGAGACACUGCUGUAGAGCAGUUCUCCUGCAACAUUGCCAAAGCAAGACAACCAGCACCAGGCAGGACUGAAACAAGGCUCCUGGGCAUGGAAAGCAGUGGGUUGAGGCUCCCACUAUGAGUAGUAUCCUCAGAAAAAUCCUUUAUAGGAAAGUGUUUGAAUACCUUUAUAUCCAAAUUCAUGUGAUAAUCCUGCCCUAAAGGACCUAGGCAUGAACUAACCAGCCAAGAACUAGUCUUCCACCACGAGUAUCGGGUCUAGACUAAAAAGCCUGUGUUUCUACUCAUUUCUAAUGAUUCAAAUGACUCCCUUCUUGACAAGAAUAUCUACUGCAACCAAAAACAGUGAAAACUUGAUAUAAGUUGAAAUGUUGACUGUAUAGUUAAUAUGGACUGAACACCUAGCCAGAUCAAAAUAACUGAAAUAAUUGAAGGGUUACUGUAUGCUGGAUGUCUCUUGUCUUUGUGAGUAGUGGAAUGGAUACUCUCACAGCCAAGCUGUGAGGCAACCAAUUCAGCCUUCACAUUUCCAGUCAAGAGGCACUGCACUGCAGACAGAACUCUGAAGAAUAAUUACUGAUUACUAAUAUACUGUGGAGAAAUUGCUUUAUUACAAGGUGCAUUCUAACAUGCUGUAAAGAUGUACAAAAAAAAAAACAAAACAAAACAGAAAAAUUAAAUACUUAAAAGAUGAUUCUAGCUUGUUGUGGCCUGUUGCAAAGCAGUUAUAAAUUGGAGUACUUACAGCGGUUCAUGCAUGUCCCUGCAUGUUUGAACAGCAUAUCAGAGAAUUUAUUUAUCAGGGGAAAAAAAAGUCUCUGCUAAGUCAUUUAGUUCUUAAAAAGGUUCCUGUCAUUUACAGUUUUGCCAGAUUCUAUAAGGCGCAAUACCAGAUUGUCACAUGGGAAAGGCUUGCAGAUUCAAGUCCUUAUUCUUCCCUGUAGCGAGUACUGGAACGAACAAAUUUGGGACACAGAGGUUACGUCAAAGCCUUCCAACUCUUUGAAGGAUAAUUACCAUACCUGCAUAAUCACAUGGUCUACCUUCCAUGCGUUCAUGUUAAGGAGAGGACAUUAAUCUAACUAACGCCCAGCGGCUGACAUUAUAUAUAUAUAUAUAUAUAUACAAUAGUUCUCUAUAAGAUAUAGCACACCACUUAACAGCUGCAGAAAACUCCUUACUACAUUCACAAACCCUUGAUGGAAAGAGCUGCUUAAUUCUUUUCAGACCUGUCAUAUUAGGUAAGAGUGUUCUGCUGCAGGAUGAUGAUGAUGCUAAUUGUCACUUUGUAUUGUUUCACUAGACAGCCUAGCCCACUACUUUAUUAUGGGUUAUGUAAGAGUUACAAGAGGUAGCCAAUAAACAGUGCACUAACAGAAUCAUUUACACUCUGAAAUGUUCAGAAGUACUCACAGGUAUGUCUAGAAGUCAUCUAAAACAACGCUUUGGUUCCAGGGGAUGGCAUGUGCUGAUGCUAUGAUCUAUGUAAGACUCUCCUCAGCAAACAAAUCACAAAGAAUGUUCCCGCAGCUCUUGGUGUCGGAGGCUUGGAGGAGCUCAUCCUCUUUCAUGUUAUGCAGUAUCCAAAGAGACUAUAGUGCAAUAUUCCCCUUUUCACUAUCUGUACAAAGGUUUUGGUUGACUGGCAAGGAAAUAAUGGAAUCAAAUGGCACAUAACAACUGGCCCUCUCCCAGCGCUUGUCCAUCUUCUUUCAGUCCAUUUGUGAAAUCAUAUGGAAAUCUCAGCAAUGUUGGGAUGUCCAAACAAGCAUGGUGAGCCUUUCAGUCCCUAUUUAAUAUAUUAAUGAUCAAGAAAUUGUGUCCUUUCUCACGUGGUUUGCAAAUCUUUACUGCUGUCAUUUCCACCGGAAAGUGGUAAAAUAUGGAAGUGUUUUGAUGGAGGGAGGAGGAAAAUCUUUUCAGAUACAGUGUAGAAACAAAUAAACACAAGACAUAGUUCCUGGUUUGUAACCAAAAUCAAUAGCCAUAUGCAGCAGGACUGAGGUCAAUUUAUGCUCCCAUGUUUCACAUAUUGACAAAAUCUGUAUUAUUGUAAUGCUGUGUUUUAUUAACCUAUGUCUAAUAAAGCUUAUACUUCAUUAAAAAGCCAUUUUCAAACAGAUUCUAUGCAUUUUAUUAAUAAAUAAAUUUUAUUACUUACUGUAAAAUCAGUAACAUAAAUAAAGUACAUUAAGCAUGUCCUUUUACCUACAGAAAACAUAUCACAACUAUUUUCCUCCAAGAUCUAAUUAGAUUAAGCUUUCAUUUUCAAAACAGAAGAAAAUACCUGGGGCAGAUCUGGCUAUAAGUCAGCACCAUACCUGUUGGCUUCUUUGUUUUGUAUUUUUGUUUAUUUGGUUAUUAUUUUACCAAGUAGCAAAUUUGCCUAUGUAAUAAACAAAAGGAGCCCUCUUGUGAUAGAGCCUACUCAAAAGUAAAAACAGAUACUCGUGAAAAUAUCAAAUGAUUAAUUUUUUUGCAUUUUUUAAACAAUUAAAUGGUGUUCAUUAAUAUUUCAUACUGCACAAAUAUUUUUAUAAUCAUGCUUGCUAUCUCUGUAACAUUCAGAUAUGCCUGCAAAUGUUGAGUAGCCAUAGAUCCUAGAGUCAGGCUCUUUAUUACAUAUGCUUAUAACUAUGACUCAUAAACAAGUGCUAAACUAAAUGCAGCAUAUGCAAUUGUUGAAAUAGCACUUUGUUUGGGGGAAAUAGCGUCUUGAAUUAAUGCUAUGAUGGAAGUGUGAACUUGUAUAACAUAUCUGAGUUUCAAUUUCUUACCUUUAAAAUGGGAGAAUUAACUUCAAAUGCUGAGUAUAUCACUCUUGUAAGAGAUAACAAGUCUGGAAACCAAGGAGAGUCCACAGGGUCCUCAUUGUUGAAGCAGGACAAGAAAAUUAAUUUCCCUAGUAAUUAAUAUGUUGCCACUGCAGUAAUAGACCAACAUGACAAGGUGAAGGAUCUUAGUACGAAUAUGAUCCAACAUGAUGCUUGAGCUGCAUGUUGAAAGUAGACAUUGACAUUGAUUGUUUCAUUUCUGGGAGCCUAUCAUCCAUGGCCCUAAUUAACUGCAUUUGGAAAUCUGUGUGAGCUACCUAUGGAACAGGCUUUGUCUGUCCUUACAUUUCUCCCUGAAUGGGGCUGCAAGGCUAAACUCUCUGGUUGCCUACUUUUAUAGUGGGGACAGUUGCAAUACACAUGAGCACAUUUGAAUGGCUGCUUUAACCUUUUCAGUGAGGAGAAGAUGCUCAACCAUGAGACCUCUUGUGAAGAGGAGGCAACACGUCCCAUACCCAAUUCAUUUCACAGAGGUCAUCCAAGUGCUUUCACCAAAUUCUCUUAUUUUCAUUGUGACAUGAGAAGACAUUCUUAUUGAAGUGUGCUUAAAAGAAAGCAGUCCUUGAACUCUGGAGUGACAGAAUUUUGUCUUCGUAGUUCAGUGUGGUCUACUUAUUCCCUGUGAGAGCAGAAGCAAUGCAGGGAGCACACCUUUCCCUCCAACAAUAUGGGAGGGGCUGAUACCUGGGACCUCAGUGAAGCACAGGCUGAGUUUAUUCACAGUCCAGAUUUCCUCAUUACUCCCAUGUUAUCAUUAAUAUUUCAGAUCUCCUCAAAGUCAAAAUACCAGAAUAUCUUUGUUCUCAUGAGAAAUCCAACAGCUCCUGGGGGGAAAACGCUAUCUGGAGAAAAAUCCAGACUAGAAGUGUUUAGCUGAAAAUAAUCCCCACUUUCGUUUUAAUUUACUCAUAUUUUAAUUGGAGGGAAAGAGAUGUGGGAAAUAUUGGUGAGCAGUGAAAAAGAAAGAAAGGCAAAUUCUGUACACCAAUCACUGGAGUAAAAGGUCACACCAAGGGGCAGAAUUUCCCUUCACUACAGCUGAUAGUGUUCCUCUCUAUGGAAUAUCAAGGGGAAAAAAAAUCCUAAAGUUCAGUGCUUUUCAGUGAAAAUAUUUGAUUCUUAGUCUCAAGAUUUAGACUGAGAACAGGAGGCAGUGAUGGAAUAAAUGAGAUGGAAAAAACCCUAUUAACACUCCAGGUCUCCUAAGAGUAGAAGUGACAGAACAGCCUUGUUCUUUUAAACAGAGUGCAGAGGACAUUUUAGCAGAAAACAACAACCAGCGAUAAGAUCCUAUUUGAGGGGCAUCGAUUUUCCCCUCAGGGCUCUACAUAGAAAAGAACGUAACAGCACAUUUUACUCCUGCUGGAGAUGUGCUAAAGCAGCUGUCCAGUACUUGGAAUAGAAGGAAAAACUGUUCUGAAGCACUUCUUUGUUACUUCAGUCUUUCUCUAUAUCUGAUGCAAGUCAGAAUUCAACCUUUGCAAAAUCACAAGUUGUACUCAGCUCUGGAUUUCAGAGUUACGGACCAACUCCUCCAUCAAUUCCUAUUUCCACCAUUCCUAUUUCUCUUAGUCAUACACUACACUGGUACCCUACAAUCACAACUUUCCCACAGUACUGAACUUCAAACAGUAAAUCACACACAAUACCAAAGUCUCAUUGAAGAGAGGUUUCAACCCAUAGUGAAAAUUGGUCUCCUGUUUUUUCUUAAAAACAGGAAUAAAUUAGUAUUUGCAAACUGACUAUAACACAUCUGUAGUAUUGAGAGCUUUGUAACAGCACCCUUCCAGAGAUCUACCCUGUGUGUGUCCUCCCUUACAUUUAAGUUUCUGAAGUGAGGAGCCGACAUCACACAAGCAAGGCUGGAAGGAGCCCUAUGACAUCACCUCUGCUAUCUUUCUUCCCCAAGGUAUCAAAAGAAGUAAUUUAAGGGCAUUCUGAUAGAUCAGAGAUAGCCACCCAUUUUGUUUGGAGAAAGUAUAUGAAAGCUUUCGUACUUCAGAAGACUAUAGAACAGGCUAGAACUUUCAGAGCAAUACUUCUAUUUUCUGGCACAUUUUUUUCUAACUCGGGAACUCUUUUCACAAGAGUUUUGAUCUCAGGUUUAUCAGGCAGUUGGGGAAGAAAAGAUAAGGACUGAAACAUUUCAAACUAACUGAAAGUAUCUGUGUAAGACUGAACCUAAGGGAAGAUGAAAACUCAAAAGUGGGCAGUUGUGUUCUUGUUUAUCCCAAUCUCACCACACCCACAUGGUAGCAAAAUAGGCCCCAUGCCGAGAAUUUGUGGCAAGAGCCUAUUGUGUGGGCUUGGAAUAAUUUAAGAAUUGACUGUCAGUCUGUUUCUUGGCUUCCAGCUAUGAAGUAAUGCUCUAAGUAGAGAGCGAUACUCUGAAGCGCUCAUUACAAUCUUUAAAGCUGUCUCAUUUUCAAUUAUGAAUAUUAAAAAGAAGUACUCAGUAAUUCCUGCAUGAUAAUUAAUAUUCCAACUUUUGGUGUGGCUUGUUGGUUUUUUAAGGUCUAUUUUUAAAGACACUCUCUUAACUUAUUCCGGAGUUAGUUCCCAACAACCAAAUAUUGUUCCUGUUUAUAUCAGUGGGGAAAGUCCCAGUGAAAAAACUAAUCAGACCGAAGUUAAUGAAAACAACACCCCCAUUUAAAACAAUGCCCUAGCCUUAAACAAUCUGCUCGCAUUGCCUACUUGUAUAAAAUUUUAUAGCCUGCAUGUUCCAACCUUAAAAAAAAAAAUCCUGAUUAUUUAUUUAUGCCCUUUUUGUUUAAGAAGUUAAAUCCCCAGAGCAUCUCAAUUUAGAUCAAAAGCAAGCUACCAAAAUUCACCUGGCACACCUGUGCCGUGUGAUUUCUUAAUUACUUGCCUAGCAUUCUCAGAGCUACAAGGCAGAGAUGCAGGGCUCGUUUAGCACAUAUUCAGAUCUCUGCAAUGAACCUUGUGUAACAGAGACUUUCCAGAGUGCCCGAGGUGGUAACCAGUGUUAAACGAUCCCAUAUCUCCACAAACACUUGCAUUUCAGCAAUUUGCUUUCUCACAGGUUUCAGAAGACAGAGAGCUAUCUUGGGGUGAGUAAUCUGGGGAAAUAGAUUGAUUUAUUUAUGAGUUUCUUGAUGAAGGUUUUCCCCGGCUAGUGAGCAGCAUGGAGUUCCUUGCGCCAGUAGAGCCUUCUCAGUUCGAAGCGUAGAAGUAGGCCUAUUAAUUAUGAUAGCCACAGGUUGUUAUUACUUACAUUUAUGAUGCAACACCCUAGGAACCAAGGGAAGAGUUUGGCCAUUUCUGUUACACCUCAGACAAGUCUUCAGUUGACAGUCACGGACAUUAACCUAAAAAGAUGUACUCAAAACAGGAGCAUGAGGUAUGGCACAAACAAGGCUCAUCUGAGGGAGCACACCCCAAGUUUUUGCUGAGACACUUCUUCCUCUUGGCUACAGGAUGUUUCUACACAGUGAUGAGAAACUGAGUUCACAUGUUAGAUGUGACUGCUGCUAUGCUGAUAUGCACGACUGACCAUUGAUAUGCCCCUUGUCUAGCCAGAGAACAUGCACCACUUGGAUGUAGAUGGGCUCAAAUUCAUGUUCAGUUUGCACGUACACUGACAAUUGUGUACAUGCAGGAGAAGAUCAAUCAUGUCUUAAACCUCCCUAGCACUGAGCACUCCUAGCUGUGUGUCUUCAUGCACGCAGUUUUAUAUUUUAAUAGGAUAGUCACGGUAAUUUGUUCUUUACAAGCGGUUUGGAUAGCAAUUAGGCAUCAAAUAUUACAGCUGCUUCUUUGGCUAUUUGUCAUUAGUGUAAUUUCAUUAAUUGGACAAAGCAUUGACUCUGUUAACCUGAAUAUAAUUUAAACUGCUGAAAGCUGAUGGCAUCUCUCUUGGUACAGUGAAAAUACACUGCUCUGUCAGAAAGCUAAAGGCAAUUAUUACUAUUAAUAGUGCAUGCUUCCACAGCACAAAGAAACUUCAGUGCCAUCAGGAUUCCUUACAUGCAAGAGAUGAAGCAGUUGACUUGAAUCACGCACAAAAUGAACAGAUGCAACCUGUGAUCCCUGCUUUAUCAGCGUCAUUCACUGUGACCAUUAAUGGACACAGAAAACAUUCAAUUCGAUAAUGUGUCUUUUCAUGAAAGAUUUUAGGAGAAAAUAUUUUCAGUUGUUUGCUUCAAAAUUCAAUUUUUCAUUGAGAAACAUAUCCAUUGCCAAGAAUAUUGCCAAAAAUUGCCAAAAAGUCCCAAAUGGAACCAGAGAUGCUGAAAAGGCUCUGCACAAGAUCUGUUUCAAGCAAAUAGAAGUCUCUUUUGGCAACACCAUUCUGAUUUGAUUACAGGAAAAGACAAGCCAGUAAAUUUUAAUUUGUAGAUUUGUAAUUUGUUCAUAAAAAUUUCAAAUAAUUUUGCAAGGAAGAUUGCCGUGUAUCUUACAGAUAAUACAAAAGAGAUCUUCAGGUACACUGAGAUUCGGUUGAUCAAGAUACUAAUUACUAAGCUACAUUUAAUUUCAAAAUUUUAAAAUGCUUGAAAACUCAACCAAUCAUCUCUGUUCCUUGAAAACACAUUGUUUUUCAGAAAUAUUACAGAAAAUCUGGGAUAUGGAGAUAUUUUUAAAGGUUGUGCUUCAUAACAAUGCAUUUCCCAGCUUCCUCUGUGCAAUAAAAAGGUAAACUAAGUUAUCAACAAGAAAUCUAUCUGCUAAAAGUUAAUAACAAACAUCUGCUGGUCUCCUGGGAGAGACAGUGGAAAAUGGGUGGGAAUUUCCAGCUUUAAGCAGCCACUCCCGCAGUGUUCAAGUCAACAGAAAAACCUGUCAGUAGAAGGUCAGAGUCAUUAGGAGAUUUUUUCCCCUGCAGAGAAAUAGAUCAGAUACCCAUAAUUUCAGAGACAUUAUUUAGGAUUUUACAAAGUUCUCACAUUAGGUGAAGCUCUUAUGUAAAGCCUACCUUUCGGAGCUACAUUUUAAAGGCUUAUAAGACCACCCUGAAAGGUGCAAAGGAGACACGAACAAGCUCUUGUCAGUGGUGCCCAGUGCUAGGACAAGAGGUGACGGGUGCAAACUGGGGCACAGGAGGUUCCCCCUGUCCAUCAGGAGGCACUUCAGUGCUAUACAGGAGACAGAGCACUGGCACGGGGACACAGAGAGGGUCUCCUCUUUGGAGAUCUCCAAAAGCCACCUGGAUGUGGGCCUGGGCACCCUGCUCUGGGUUGUCCCGCUGGAGCAGGGAUGGGCCAGAUGACUCCAGAUACCUCUUCCAACCUCGGCCAUUCCAUGAUUCUGUGGCUAUAAGCAAGCAAAGGUCCCAAUCCACAAAAGAAUACAGUUUAAAAAGAUUCCUAACAUCAGCAAAGUCGAGACAAUAUGUAAUGUCCCAUAUGUUCAUGAUCCUAAGCCCCUUGCGCUAUCUUAGGUAAUGCUCUUUUAGUGUCAGAAAUGUCUCAUUUGCCAAUCACUAAGAAUACAUACAUAAGCCAUUAUUUCUGUUCAGUUGAUUCAUGGUCAUUUGUUAGAUUACAGUAAUAUGAUUGUGACGCUGAGUCCUAAGAAGUCAUUAUCUAAGGUAAUUAUAAAUUCUAAAGGAGCAAAAUACUUUCAGCACAUAGAGGGAAAGAACAGGUAGUUUAAUAUGAAGUUCUGCAGGUACCUUCAGAAUGUCUGACCUGAAAGAUGCCAGGUUUUAAUGAGGAAAGAGGAUAAGUGCUGAUAUUCUGUUCUUGUUAACUUGAAAAUUUUGAGAUACUUAAAAACUUUUUUUUAUCCAUAGUUUAUAGAAAAAUUAGCUCUUUCAAUUUGCUAACAAAGUUUUCACCAUGAUAUUAUAUAAUAUUGACUGUAGCAUGGUAAGACUUAAAAUGGGUAAAAAUCCAUUACUAUUUUUGCAGUUUUCUUUCUUACCAAACCACUUAUUCAGCAAACAAAUAGCAUAAGGUGAUACUAUUUUCAGGUAUUUUCCUGUCUCUGGGAUAACUGCUGAAGCUUACAUCUGUAAAUAUUAGCUUAAGCAACCUGUUAAAUAUAUUUCUGGUCCUCAAAGAAAUAACUGUAGUUAUAUUUAAGCAUUCCUACUUACGAACAUUUUCACGUAAGUAUCUUCUACCAUCAUUGGCUAAUAUCUCUGCCGACCAACUGUCAUGGAUGUGGCGCAGUUCAAAUCAUCUUGCAUUUCUGUGGGUUUACAUCAUCUUAAACCUGUAUUAAUUUGAAGGUACAUUUGGCACAAUGUGAGUUUUAUGGGCAUCACUUGUAGCAUCAGCAAUUAUUGAGAUUACUUGUUUCUUCUCAUUUCAAGCAUGUUGGUGCUGCCAGUGUUACAGUCAUAUGACUAGCGUGAGCCUGACAUGUCAGACACCUGUCUGAGCUUGAAAGAUUUUUGGAAAACUUCAUCCUAAGGAGUUCAGCUUUUUCCAACACUUUGACCAUGGAAAAAUCCCCAUCUUUUUCAUGUUAAACUCUGAAGUAACCUUUUUUUUUUUUUUUUU